AAUGGGGGCAACCCUGAUCCAGCGAUGCCGCGUGAAUGAAGAAGGCCUUCGGGUUGUAAAAUUCUUUCAGCAGUGAGGAUGAUGACGUUAACUGCAGAAGAAGCCCCGGCUAACUCCGUGCCAGCAGCCGCGGUAAUACGGAGGGGGCUAGCGUUGUUCGGAAUUACUGGGCGUAAAGGGUAAGUAGGUGGAUAUAUAAGUUAGACGUGAAAGGCCUGGGCUCAACCUAGGGAGUGCGUUUAAAACUGUAUAUCUAGAGUAUAAGAGAGGAAAGCAGAAUUCCCAGUGUAGAGGCGAAAUUCGUAGAUAUUGGGAGGAAUACCGGUGGCGAAGGCGGCUUUCUGGCUUGAUACUGACGCUGGGGUACGAAAGCGUGGGGAGCAAACAGGAUU
rnacentral:rRNA from 1 species